rnacentral:rRNA from 1 species
AGUGAACGCUGGCGGCAGGCCUAACACAUGCAAGUCGAGCGGCAGCGCGGGGGCAACCCUGGCGGCGAGCGGCGGACGGGUGAGGAAUUCGUCGGAAUCUGCCUUUUUGUGGGGGAUAACGUAGGGAAACUUACGCUAAUACCGCAUACGUCCUACGGGAGAAAGUGGGGGACCGCAAGGCCUCACGCAGAAAGAUGAGCCGACGACCGAUUAGCUAGUUGGUGGGGUAAAGGCCCACCAAGGCGACGAUCGGUAGCUGGUCUGAGAGGAUGAUCAGCCACACUGGGACUGAGACACGGCCCAGACUCCUACGGGAGGCAGCAGUGGGGAAUAUUGGACAAUGGGCGCAAACCUGAUCCAGCCAUGCCGCGUGUGUGAAGAAGGCCUUCGGGUUGUAAAGCACUUUUGUCCGGAAAGAAAUCCCUGGAGCUAAUACCUUCGGGGGAUGACGGUACCGGAAGAAUAAGCACCGGCUAACUUCGUG